GUCCAGACUCCUACGGGAGGCAGCAGUGGGGAAUAUUGCACAAUGGGGGAAACCCUGAUGCAGCGACGCCGCGUGAGUGAAGAAGUACUUCGUUAUGUAAAGCUAUAUCAGCAGGGAAGAAACAGACGGUACCUGACUAAGAAGCCCCGGCUAACUACGUGCCAGCAGCCGCGGUAAUACGUAGGGGGCAAGCGUUAUCCGGAUUUACUGGGUGUAAAGGGAGCGUAGACGGCGAUGCAAGCCAGAUGUGAAAGGCCGGGGCUCAACCCCGGGACUGCAUUUGGAACUGUGUGGCUGGAGUGUCGGAGAGGCAAGCGGAAUUCCUAGUGUAGCGGUGAAAUGCGUAGAUAUUAGGAGGAACACCAGUGGCGAAGGCGGCCUGCUGGACGAUGACUGACGUUGAGGCUCGAAAGCGUGGGGAGCAAACAGGAUUAGAUACCCCUGUAC
rnacentral:rRNA from 1 species